rnacentral:pre_miRNA from 1 species
GGGGUGCUAUCUGUGAUUGAGGGACAUGGACAAUGGAACUGUCUCACACAGAAAUCGCACCCGUC